GAGGGUAUAGCACAGUGGUAGAGCACAUGCUUAGCAUGCAUGAGGUUCUCGGUUCAAACCCUAGUACCUCCA
rnacentral:tRNA from 1 species